GACAGAGGUGCCAAGCGUUAGGCGGAAUCACUGGGCUUAAAGCGUGUGUAGGCGGAUGUCUAAGUACCUUGUGAAAUCCCACGGCUCAACCGUGGAACUGCUUGGUAUACUGGAUGUCUUGAGCCAUCUAGGGGCUACCGGAACAAAUGGUGGAGCGGUGAAAUGCGUUGAUAUCAUUUGGAACGCCAAUGGUGAAAACAGGUAGCUGGGGAUGUGCUGACGCUGAGACACGAAAGCCAGGGGAGCAAACGGG
rnacentral:rRNA from 1 species